rnacentral:rRNA from 1 species
AAGGCUUGACAUGGGGAAGACUGGACGAGAGAUCGUCCUUCUCUAGCAAUAGAGCUUCCCACACAGGUGCUGCAUGGCUGUCGUCAGCUCGUGUCGUGAGAUGUUGGGUUAAGUCCCGCAACGAGCGCAACCCCCGGUUUNUAGUUGCCAUCAUUCAGUUGGGCCCUCUAGAGAGACUGCCGCGAAUAACGCGGAGGAAGGUGGGGACGACGUCAAGUCAUCAUGGCCCUUACG